rnacentral:rRNA from 1 species
CUCGUAGGCGGUUCGUCGCGUCCGGUGUGAAAGUCCGUCGCUUAACGGUGGAUCCGCGCCGGGUACGGGCGGGCUUGAGUGCGGUAGGGGAGACUGGAAUUCCCGGUGUAACGGUGGAAUGUGUAGAUAUCGGGAAGAACACCAAUGGCGAAGGCAGGUCUCUGGGCCGUCACUGACGCUGAGGAGCGAAAGCGUGGGGAGCGAACA